AUGACUCGCCCAAGGUCACUAAGCUUCGCGCCGGCUUGGUCAGCCCGAGCCCAGCGCCUUGUCCCCAGCUGGGGCGGGGAGCGGGGCAGCUGGCUCCGUGCGGCUGCGGAGGGGCCCCGGGGAGGGGAGCUGGACCCCAGCCGGGCACCCCCCCCCCGCCGGGCUGCGGAAGGUCAGGCCGCCCAGGGCCUAGGCGGGCGGGGGGCCCGUCGGCGAAGCGGCCGAGGGCUGGCGGGGCCGGGGGCGCGGGCGGCCCCCCGAGAGCGCGGCGGUCCGGCCAGGCCGGGGCGGCCCCCCGCCCCCCCCCCCCCGCAGGCCGCGCCGGGGCAGCAGGUGCGCGGCCCGGGCCUGGAGCAGCAGCAGCGCAGCCGCCGCCCGCCCGGCCCUCCCGCCCCCGCGGGGCGCCCCCCGCCGCCCGCCGCCUCUCACCUGCCCGGCGGCCGCGGCGCCGCCCCCCUCCGGCGUCUCGCGGCCCGGACCCCCGCUCCGCCCGCCGCCCGGGCAUCCUCGCCGCCGCCGCCGCCGCCGCGCAUCCCGGAGCCGCCGAGCCGGGCCGCCGAGGCGCAGGCACCGAGACGCCGAGGGCGCCGCCCCCUGCGCCGGACACUCGCGCCUCGCGGGGCCCCCGGAGCCCGGGCCGCUGGCGCCGCGGGGCCUGGCGGGGGGCGGGGCGGGGACCCCGGGGGCGGCGGGCGCCCGCGGCCUCGAGACCCGGCUCGCAGGCAAGUCGUUGUAACAGAAUUAGGGCGCAUCCGUCUUUACUGUGAAUCAGGGAACCACGCAUCUGCCUCCUCCUCCGCCGCCCCAAAGCCCCGAGGUCACGGGGGGCGCGGGGGGGGGGGCGGAGGGGAGGCGCUGCCAGGAAACCAAGUGCCACUAAAGGAGGCCCAGCCCGCAGGUGCAGGUGCAGGUGCAGGUGCAGGUGCGCCAACCGCCGCGGGCAGGGCCGGGCCGGGGAGGGCAGGGGAGGGGAGGGCAGGGCCGGGGAGGGGAGGGCAGGGCCGGGGAGGGCGGGGCAGGGCCGGGGAGGGCGGGGCAGGGCCAGGCGACCGCAGGGCAGGGGCGCCGCGUCGACCGCAGAACCCGAAAGGCAGUGCGCUGUGUACGCAGCUAAUUUUGGCCAAGCAGGAACACAGAAAACGACUGUCCCCUCGUUCUUAA
rnacentral:lncRNA from 1 species